AAAACAUUUAAAUAGCAAUUGGCUAUUACGUUAAAGAUAUUUUUCUAAUACUAUUUUAUAAGUUAAGAUUGACAGAAAAAUGAUGUUUACGAAGUAUUUUUAUUUCUUUUUCUUAUUGCCUCUUGUAAAAUCCAAUGACACCAUUCAGCAGCCAAAGCAGAACUUAUUAACAUGUUUGAUAAAUUCUGGUUUGAAUAAUGACAAAAUCAUAAAUUCUCAAAACAAAUUUACUCGUAAAUUUAAAGACAUUUUAUUGAAACGGAGUAUAGAUAUUCUACGUUUAGGUAAUUAUGAUAAAAUUAACGAAGUUGCAAAAUCUUUGUACGAUUAGAUUGUUCGUCGCGGUCAACGAGGAAUUAAAUUGCACGAAUGUUGUUUAAUGUAUGCUACUGAACUAACAAAUUUAAAGAAAAAUAAGGAUCUUAUUGAGCCGUAUGAAAAUAUGGUUCGCGAUUGGAGUAAUGAAGAUAAAGUUUUGCCAACGAUACUUCGAGAAGAUAACAUGACUAUGGACGAAGGAUACGAACUGGGGGAUACAUGUCAAAUAGUUGUAUUGACUGGUGAUACUGAAGAUACAGACCGCAUCAAGGUGGAUCGUUAUAAUUAAGAUUUAAAAAUAUUAAUGGAUGAUGACAGAUUUGUUUUAAUUGUUUAAAAAAUAUUUAAUUUGUAAAAAUUAUAUAAAACAAUAAAUAGUAAAAAAAUGUCUGUGUUAUCUACAA